CCUACGGGUGGCAGCAGUGGGGAAUAUUGGGCAAUGGGCGCAAGCCUGACCCAGCAACGCCGCGUGAAGGAAGAAGGCUUUCGGGUUGUAAACUUCUUUUCUCAGGGACGAAGAAAGUGACGGUACCUGAGGAAUAAGCCACGGCUAACUACGUGCCAGCAGCCGCGGUAAUACGUAGGUGGCAAGCGUUAUCCGGAUUUAUUGGGUGUAACGGGCGUGUAGGCGGGAGCGCAAGUCAGAUGUGAAAACUCAGGGCUCAACCCUGAGCCUGCAUUUGAAACUGUGUUUCUUGAGUGCUGGGGAGGCAAUCGGAAUUCCGGGUGUAGCGGUGAAAUGCGUAGAUAUACGGAGGAACACCAGUGGCGAAGGCGGAUUGCUGGACAGUAACUGACGCUGAGGCGCGAAAGCGUGGGGAGCAAACAGGAUUAGAUACCCGAGUAGUC
rnacentral:rRNA from 1 species